rnacentral:tRNA from 3 species
GGUGAAGUGGCUGAGUUGGCUUAAGGCGCGGCCCUGCUAAGGUCGAGUGUUUUAAAAGGCACCAAGGGUUCGAAUCCCUUCUUCACCGCCA